GCUUGUUGACGAAGGUGCCGUGUAGCCGAGCAUGUUAUGAGAUGCUGGGGAUCAGUGUUUGCAGCUCAUGCUGCUUUCCAUCUCCACCAGUCCUGUGCAGCUGAAGCUCUGUACCCUUGCUGGUCCCAGAGACGUUGGGGACUCUGCUCUUGGGGACGUCACCACGUGGAGAAGAAUGUUCCCAAGGCACAGAGCAGCCCAUCAGAGAGGGAGGGGUCCCCCCAGCCAAGGAGAUGUGCAGGUGUUUCCCUGGCGCCACGGCGCCUUGUCAUGGCUCUGCCCCUGACAGCUCAAUGCGUCUGCUCCUGCCUCAGAACAAUUUGGUGCCGGGUCGCUCCGCACUGUUUCAUGGACAGCACAAACAGAAGCACGCCUGACUGCAGCUGAGCCACAAGGGCCCUUCCCACCAUACACCCACCGAUGCCUCAUUGCCCCCACUGCACCCUGCCAUCUGCACCCAUGUGUACUUUCAUCCCUUGUUCUCCUCUGCAUUGCCUUUUCUAUCAGAGACAGUGCUAACAGUGCUUCACGUGACAGAGUGCAUGCUGUUUUAUACAUCAAGAUAGUAACCCCCAUAAUUUACUUUAUUUACCUUUUAAUCCAUCUAUUGAUUGCUGCUGUCAGUUCCUGCUAGAGCAAGGAACAGCUCUGGUACCCACAGUGUGCUCGUGGGACUCACCUCUACCACACGGGUUUGCAGUCAUUGGGUGUGCAUUGAACCAUUAUGAGUCAUGGCAAUUUGGUUUUCCGUUUGCUGGGGCUUCCUCACUGUGGUUAUGGUUUUGAGUUAUAUGGCUGCACAUAAAAUGUAAUUAAUAUUAAUCCUGCUUUAGCUAUGUGGUAGUAAAAAGUCUGUCUUUAUUGCAAUUGUCAAAACUGCUUUCAUAAUGAGAAAAAUAGACUGAUUUGACAGAAUGAGAAUUAUCACUGUAUCAGAAAUUAACUCUAUUUUUAGGGAUGAAGUCUGAAGUUUGAAUCAAAGAAUAGUUUGAGUUGGAAGGGACCCUUGAAGGCCAUCCAGUCCAAUUCCCCUGCAAUGAACAGGGAUACCUGCAGAUUGAUCAGGUUGCUUAGAGCCCCGUCCAGCCUGACCUUGGAUGUCCCCAGGGACACCAUCCACCACCUCCCUCACCACUCUUACUGUAAAAACCUUAUUCCUUAUGUCCAAUCUAAAUCUCUUUUAAUUGAAAACCAUUUCCCCAUGUCCUGUCACAGCAGACCCUGGUAGAGCCUGUCCCCUUUCUUCUUACAGCCCCCCUUUAGACACUGACAGGCAUAUCUGAGGUCUCCCUGGAGCCUUCCCUGCUCCAGGCUGAACAGCCCCAGCUCUCUCAGCUCUUUGUUCUUAUUUUCUGACCUGUCUUCAAUAUCAAGAAAACAUUUCCAGAAAAAACUUAUCUGACUGUUUCAAGAAGUGGAUCUCUGGGAGCUGUACCUUUGGUGCUCUCUACUGCACGGGGAGGGCAGUACUGCGUGGAAGAGAUAUACCUGUGACACGUAUAACCAAGAUGCUCCGAGUUAUGGGAAAACAAACACCAAAGAGCCCUUUCCAGAGCUGCUUGGCAACUGUCUCCAUAAAUCAGUUCUACCAAGGUGCUGUGCCUUCCAGAGAUAGUCACUUUAAUGGCAGCAAUUUAGUUGUACGGGCCUGAACUUUGGGGGGAAGAGGCACAUGGAAACCAACAGGAAUAUAAAACUUGGGAACUUGAUUGGAAAUCUUUCAGGUCCAGUCUUGGAAUCAUAGAAAAUGUAUACAGAUGAUGCUGCUCGUGAAGAAACAAAAAUCUAUUAAAACACCUCCAGUGCAUCAGUAAAAGUGCUGGAAAGAAAUGUGAGUUUUGACUGUUGCUAAGAAGAGAUGUGGCUGUGUACAUUGCACGGGUCCUCUCCAAGUGACAACUCACAGGCAGGGGAAAAGAGACAUCAUUUAGGAGUUGGACUAGAUGGCUUCCAGAGGUCCGUUGCAACCUCAACCAUUCCACAUUUCUGUGAUUAGAAGAGAUUUUAUCUAUCCACUUUGCUGUGGUUCUUACUCUGGUGGCUUUUGAGGAAGCAUUCUCUCCAGGUUUGUCCCACCUGGAACAUGUUGAAACAGCACGAGCAUAGAGAUUCAAGUUACCAAAAUCCCAAUGGUCAAAAAAAUGGCAGGUUCAGCUGCAGUUUAUGGAAACAGAUAUAAUUGUUAGGGUUCAGAGCUGGCAAUGAGCAGAGGAGCUGGCUUCCAACUCAGGAGGUCACUCAAACUUUGGGUUUGGACUGUCCAGUUUUCUCUGAGAAAUCAUGCCCAAACACUUCUGUGUGGUGCCAAAACCAGAAAAUAUGUAGGUCUCCUCACUGUAAAAAAUCAAACAAUUAUUACAGGAUCUGGAUAAUCUCCACAUGCACACAAUAGAAGAAGUUUAGGGAAAGUUUUGUUGAAAAGAGGAAAUUUUGUCUCAUUAAAUUUGGUGGCAAAAAAUUCCAAAUUCAAGCAUGAUUUCACCCUAUGUUACACUCUUGCCAUUGUGUAGAUUUUUGGUUAUAGAUAAGGAUCAGCCAGGGUUUAUAACUAAGUUUAUUUUGUAGUAAGUCUGUAGCAGCAAUUAAAGUUCCAAAACAGUUUUCACAUACUAGUAAUUUAAAGAAAAGUACAUCUCUGAAGAUGUAAUUUUCCAUUUUAAUCUCCAUCCAAAGAUAUUCUUUAACUUUGGGCAAAUUCCUGUCAAACAGUUUGAGUUAUAAUUGUAUGAAAAAAGAUACUCUGCCAGAUGUAAGAGAAAGAUGACUGCUGACAUUUUUAUUUCUUUUCUACAAGAUAAGCCAUGAGAUCUGACCUCUGAAGAACGGUGUAUAAGUAACCACUCAGGAACUUGUUCAUAAAUGGACUGGAAAAGUAAAGUGGAAAAAAAGCUUAAAUUAUUAAGCCUGAAUGUUGGGUAAUAAGAGUGAACAGUAGAAAUAUGGCAAUUAGAUAUUUAAAUUAUUUUUGAUUCUCAGCCUUCUGCCUGAACCAUACCUGAGACAGUAAAGCUAGUACAUAUGGAGCAGAUAUCAGAGCAUGGGUUAUUUCAACAUCCAGUGCAAUAAUUAUGGCUAUAUUCAGUAUCACAAAUCUCGAAAUUGCAUCAAGCAACUUAAAAAAUAAAUUAAUUAUACUAUCACAAGGCAAACUUGGAAGAAAGUAAUUAUUCUUAACAUAGAAUAGUUCUGAGUAAAGAAUUAAUUUAUUGAUUUAGUAGUGUAGAAUUUGAUUACUUAACGUAUAAAUUCUCCCAGGAAUAGAGUCCUGGGGCAUCCUGAGAGGAGUGACUGAAUAACUGGAGACCUUAACGUGUAGAGGUCUUUGUAGGGUGCUCAGUGUAUCGAGUAAAAGAAAUCAUUAAUCCAAGCUACCAUCUAGCUGUGUUUGCCAUCUUGACUACUCAUCACAAAAAUUUGUCAGACUUAUUCAGAACAAAAAAUACAGAUGUAAUUCCCCACAAGUCCCCAGAGGUGUUUUUCAGUAUGGUUAGUUAUAUAUGGAAGAAACAUCAACAUUUCCUUGAUGCCUGACAGCACAAAAUCCUCAAAUAAAUAGCUACAAUAUUGGGUCUCAUAGUGAAAUUUUUAUAAUGUGCCAUACAAUUUUUAAUAUCUACAACAUAUGCAAAGUAGGAUCAAUUUUCUUACACUAGCACAGCAAAUGCGCCUCUAAGAUCCAGUUAAUGGUAUUAAGGUGCACUGAUAUAUUAUUUUAUUUUCUGACUUUAUCUAUAUUAAAAACAAAAUAAACUGAGAUUUUUAUUCCUCCUUACACCUGUAGAAGUAAUUCUUUAUGUGGUCUGAAUGAAGAUAUGAUAAUGGAUCAUCUUAGUAGCAACGUAUCACUAUGAAUAUGCAUUUGUUUUUCACGAGAAGGAUAUUUUAGGAUCGGGGGGAUAGCACUAGUUCUUAAAAGUAGACUAAAAUUAAAGCUUCUGAGUCCCAGGUGGAGGCAUUAAGAAACUAAAAUACCUGAGUUGAGGAAACCCCCAGCUUUGUGAUCAUGGUUAGACCUUCCAUCUGUAACACUAGAUAUAGAAGGAAAAAUACAACAAUCUGUAUUGCUGUGGCUCCUGGAAAAGCUGAAAGUGUGGGUACCAGUUAUUUACUGGACAGCAUGAAACCACAAAAUAAAUUUAACAGUUUGGAGCCCUGAUCCUUCUCAUUUAUGUUUCUGUUUUGCACUGUCCUUAGAAAAAGCACAAGUCUAAAAAAAGCCAAGGAUAUAAUACCCUGAUUUCCACCAUCUACUUAGCCUUUGAUAGAAGUUUUCUUAUUGAUUUCAAUAACUUGAGCUGCAUAGAAUCAAUCUUGAUAUGCUUUGCUUUAUUGAGACUACUCCCAACCUUGAAGUUAAGCAUUAAGGCUCAGAUUCUCGUGGGUAUCUACAUGUUUAAUUAUUUUCCCACAUCAGAACUAGCAGAUAAAGAUGUGUUCCAAAUUCUUGGCCAUAAGGGCAUGACAGUUCCUAGACACUUGUUUCUGAACCAGGCAGCCUGCCAGGUGGAAGGCUUAUUUGCCUCAAAACUUCAAGAAUCCAGUGUGUCAGGCUGGCACAAUGAACCAAUCACUAAAUUCAGAUCACGUAAUACAUACAAGCAUGGUGUUUUCCUUUUGGUGAUGAAAACUACUGGAAUGUAAUACAACAUUUGAAAAAACAUCUCUGCCAGUGUGCUACAUUCUCUCUUUACACCAGCAGUGAGAAUUCCACGCUAAAAGUGAACUAAUUAUCUAAAAAAAAGAAAAAAGCAGCCAUCCGCAUGAAAAAUCUGACUUAAGAGAGUGAUGAGAAAUACUCUUUUUCAUGUGCGAUCUGAAAGCCACUUCUCUUUGCACAGUUUACUUUUGGCCUUCAGUCCUAGCAGAGGAUUUAAAUGAGUCGCCUUCCCUUUUUGGCUCUUUAAAUACGUUGCUUAAUUCCAUCAACAGAGGUCACUGCCGCUCUUUUCCUCUUUGGUGAAAGCAAGCUUUUUCCAGAGAUAAAACAGAACAACUAAUGCUCUCUACUAGCAGAGUUUGGUUUACCCUUUAGAGACUGGUUUGAGAGAGUUCAUGCAUAAUUUUUUGAGGUUGAAAACCAAAUAAAAGCAACAAUAAUAAUAAUUGGUGGGAAAAUAUUGAAAUGAUCCUUGGAACUUAAUGUAAUUUAUGCAGUUUUUAUUAUAGUGAUAUUUUGAGCUUUCUCACUACGUUUCUCCUUCUUUUCAUUUUGUGGUAUGACCAGCAGUCAUAUCUUCUCUGCAGCUCUUGGUAAUUCAGAAUCAAACAUUUUUGCACCAGUGAAGAAUAAGAGAAAAGUUUAUGAAAGGGUACCUUUAAAUUGCUAAGGUUUGGUUAAUAAAUUUGUCAGCAGUCAUCACUUUCAUCUAAACCUAUGUUUGCAUAAUUAAGAAAAUGAUGAAGAAAUAUUUGGCAAUAUCUAUCAUUAAGAGGAAUUAAAGCCAAAGAGUCCAUUUGAGCUAGCAGUAAUGUGAGACUUGCAGUUUUCUACUGCAAAAUCCAUUACAGGUUGAGCCAAAAAUGCCCACAGACAAAGCCCUUCAGAACUAAAGAGAAUAUAGGAGUUGUACAUAGUGAGACACUAUUAAAAAUAUGCAUUACCAUUUUAUGUGUACAAGCAGAAGUACCUCAGUUUACUGAUCAGGAAAAUAAAACUCAUCUCAGAACCAAAGCAGUCACAAUGCCUACUUCUGAAAAGGUGAUUUUCCUUCACAGUUGUCAAAAUUGCUUAAAGGAUCAGGACAGUGGAUUUCCAUUUCAGACAGAUGUGUUUAGAUGUUUAACAUGAAGAUGUCUACCAGUGGGGUAGGUAUCUGAGCUCUAAUUGGAUCUGAUGGGGUCUAAAUUGCGUGCCAGACCAUUGCAAAGCAGUCAUCCACGUUUGUUCAAGGGAUGUGAGCCACUGGCGGCCUUGACCUGAUGCCCAUGGACUCCAGCCCCAGGGGUGCAGUCCAGCUGCCAUAAGGCUGCCUCAAGUCCAUCUCUGAUCUCCAGCUGCUGAUCCAAAGAGCAGAAGGCUCCUGGAGUUCCCGUCCCAAAUCUAGCAUCUCUCAUAGCUUGAUUCACAUCUGAAUGACAUAGCCCUGAGUGCCUUUACCUCUAUUUUACAUGUGAGAAUACUGACACAUAGAAAGCUGAAGAGAUUUGUCCUAGUCCUAACACAAACCAAAUACCUACAGCCUCUGUUCCUUACUCAACAAAAGUAGAGAAGGAGAAACAAAUUCUGAGAGUUUCUGAUUCAGCUUCAAAGGAAAAAAUUGUGUGUCCCAUAAUAUAUUUACCUCUUACAAGUCCCUUUAGUGUUUUUUGUUGCUCUGGAAAACAUGCAGAGUAUAUUUAGUUUUUGGAAAAGAGCAACCAUGAGAAAAAUAACUGAAGAAUUUUAUUUUCUUUACAUUACAUAUAUUUUAAAUAUGACAAAAUUUUAUGGUGUUUUUUUUAGGAUGCUAAACAUUUUAAACAGCAGAUCUUGAUGCCUGUCUUCAGGCGGUGCACAAUGUCACUUCUGUGCAGAUUGUUUCUCUUCUCUGUGUGCGUGUGUGUGGAAAGAGCUGAAGGAACAGUACCAGCUUGUUCCUUUGUUCCUUUCUGUCAAUUUCAGUCACCUGAAGCCUAAGGGAAGUAAAGGCAGACAUAGGUCAAGGGAGCAGAGUCUCAUGUUUAGUUCCUGGCACUGUUCCUGUAUGAGGUACACCCACAGCUCAUUUGUUUUGUGCAAGUUUCUCUUUCUCCACCUUUUGCAUGGGCUUUUAACACUGGCACAAUUCUUAAGAUGCCGUCCCUCUGAGCUAUCUGCGGUUUGUGUGCACGCAGACCUAGAAGACACUGUGCAAGUAUUCUCAGUAUUCAUCAUAUAAAAUUGAGGUUGAAUGUAUUUGGGCAGCUGGUUUCUGUUUGCACUUUUUUCCUCACCCAGCGCAAGCUUCCGUGAUGGAAAGAAAAUCCUUAAGAAAGACAUGAAUAAAGCUAGCUAGAGGGCUAGAAGUUUUAUUCCAAGAUCCUAAGGAAAAAAAAAAAAAAAGAGCUCUUUUAUUUUGAUAUUUGCAUAUAACUUACUAUUUUCACUCCUUAUCACUGCUGAUAAUGCAGUAAUGUAAGGAACAAACGGUGUUCAAGCCAGUAUCUACUAGCAAGUCGAAAAUAGGACUUGAGGUACAUGCUAGCAAAAAAACCAGUUUGAUUUCAGGCUUCUUGAGGCCCUGGCACAGCUGCCCAGAGAAGCUGUGGUGCCCCAUCCCUGGAGGCGCUCAAGGCCAGGUUGGAUGGGGCCCUGGGCAGCCUGAGCUGUUGAGGGGGGCAGCCCUGCCUAUAGCAGGGGAUUGGGGCUGGGUGGGCUGUGAGAUACCUUCCAACCCAAACCGUUCUGUGAUUCUACAAUUCAUGACUAUUUUGUAGUUAGCAGAAUAAGCUUCUGAUGGGAAAGUAUUGUGCAGAUGUCUAGUGACCCAACCAUGUUUGCAGAUGUGGAUGACUGAUACCUAGUGCCCUCUGCUCAACAUGGGUCACUUCUUUUCACCUCUCUUGCCCCCACAAGGACAGUGUGAAAGAAGUCAUGGCUGAUGUUCAGUUUGAAUAUCUACCACUGACCAGCUGUCCUCAAGUGGCACAGUUGCCAUUUGCCAAAGAAAAGGUAGUCUGAAAAUCUGAGUUUGGCACUGUUGUAUUCAGACUAUGUCUCAUUUCUUAUGAUUGAAAGGUAGCAGCAAAUCCCAUUGUUCCAGGAGGAAGGAUGGGCUAGGAAUAAACAAGAACUAUUGUUAACCAUGAAAGUUCACUCAUGAAAACAAAAGAGGAAAGAAAAAAAGAGUUUCACUUGUGGGUAGCAUUAAGAGAGAUUAUCAAAAGGAAAUAAAUUAGGUAACUUAGUUCAGUAUAUUUCCAGUCAUCCUAACUGAGAGUAUUACUCAUGUUACCGUGACAUCUUAAAUUUUAAGGUGAGUUUGAUAAAACAAUAAACGUAAUUGUCCUACCUAAAAAGCAAACAAAAUAUAAAGAUAGGGUAAUCUGUUUUUCCACUCUUAAUGUUUGAGUUUGAUUAAUAUAUGUAGACAGAAAAUUGGAAAAGGAGGCUAUAAAGAAAGGAAGCUUAGAAACAUUUCACAGACUUUCCAGAGUCUCACACAUGCAGUUAAAUAGCAGUUUCUCUUCAGACAUGACAAUUAAAAGGUUCUAAGGGCUACAGGAAAACCCCUGAAAAUGUUGACAUUCAGUACCUACAUACCAGCAAGAAAAUAAAAAUCACCAUUAUUUUCAUCAUCUCUGACUUAGAAGUCAAUAAAUUUAUCAAUAGCAAUUUGAUGAUUUAACAUUAGAUAUCACUUGUCCUCUAAACUCUAACUACCUCACUCAUAAAUAUGGAUUAAGCUAUCGUUUGCGUGCUGAAAAUGAUCACAGCUACUUCUACUCUACAAGUAUCCAGCCUGAAACCUUGGCCAACUUUUCUGAAUCCCAUCAAACCUAAGUACUGCUCUAGGCACAUCCUAACUUAGUUUAUCUUUCAGUUUGCCUUUUGCUAGGUUGAUAAGCAUGGCACUUUUCUGCCGGUCCCACAGAUUGCUGCAUCCAAAGCUCUUGCUCUUGUCUGGACACUCGUUAUUUUCCAUCUAUUACUGUUUUCCUUCUCUGUCCUUGAUGGAAACUUUCCUACUGCACAUACUUCAGCUUCAAGCCAUGCUGUGAGGCGAAUUGUUCCAUCUCCUUCUGCAUUCCUUUACUGAUGUCUUCCCCUAGUGUGAAGCCUGAAUCUCAUGUGAGUCCUUCCAUGGUAUCCUCACUCCUGCUGGUUGGCAUUACUAUUCAGACAGCACUUUGCUUCCAUGGCUGCUGUACAGACAAUGGCAGCCUGGAUUUCACAGGUGCAGAAAUUUCCAGUGGGCACUGCUUUCCAUGGAAGAGAGAACACAGCAGUGUCUUCUUGCAGUGCACUCUGUCAAACAACAGCUCUGAAAAUUGAGAGGUCCUUACUCUACCAGCUGUCAUACCUUGAUUGCCCAUGCUCCCCUUGCUGUUAUUUCUUUGGUUGUAGGCUCUCUAAGGGAGAGAUUCUCCUUUUACUACAAAUUCCUACUUGCCUAGGAUAUUAGUUGAGGAGUAAGAACUACAGGAGGAAUAACAGCAUCCAACAGUAAUCAUGCCAUGUAGUAAAUAUGAAAGUAUUGCCAGUUCCUGGAGGUUGUGGAUGCCACGUCUCUGGAUGCAUUCAAGGCUGGGCUGGAUGUGGCUCUGGGCAGCCUGGUUUGGUGGUUGGCAACCCUGCACAUAGCAGGGGGGUUGAAACUAGAUGAUCAUUGUGGUCCUUUUCAACCCAGGCCAUUCUAUGAUUCUGUGAUUACUCAUAAUGUACUAGUGACCUUGGAAACUCACUCGCUCCUUCUCUAGUAUUCUGUUUGACUGUUGUUGCUUUUACUUUUAAAAUAUUUUCCCACUUUCUUCUUAUUUUUCUUAUUUUUUUCUGUUAGUUAGCAACUUCUAUUCCAGUGUAUCUUUUAUUUUCUCUGUUAUGUUGAAGGUGUGAGUUAUUCAUUAUCGUUACUCCUUCCUGAAGCUCACUCUUUCGGUAUUAUCCUUCUGCCCGAAGGAAGCAGUCUUAACUCCCCGAGUUUCGGUUUCUUCUACGGAUUUUUAAUACUGAUUCUUCACCUGGGCAUGAGUUUCCUGUGCCAAUUCACCUUAAAUCACAGUGCAAUUUAAAUUCCUGGGUAAACAGUAGCUCUGUACCAGUCUGAAAAGGAGACCUUGAAGUGAUUUACACAUUUCCAGGAUGUGGCCCAGGUAGUGUUUAGGAAUGCCCCCACACAUGAGGAUUUACAAACCAGGAGAGGGUCUAAACUCCUGCCCCCCAAAAAACACUUUAAUUUUCUCUACAGACCAGGUCUGAGAGUCUACAGACACAGUAUAAGUUACCUGUAAUGAAACAUUACUGCAGUUAUUGCCAUUUAAAACAGAAGCAAUAUGAUUCUUCAAGGAGAAUUCCUUUUCCACAAGUAUGAAAUAACCAUGAAAAUGAAUAAACAGUGCAACUUUAUACAUCGGAACAUAUUUUGUGUAGGUAUCUGCAGCAUGGCCUCUUGGCUAAUGGCCAACAGGCCCAUUAUCUGCAACUAAUGGCGCAGAAAAAAAUUUUCUUCCAGAACUACUUUCUCACUGCUAGGAAAGCAAAUUAAAAAUAGGCUUUACACGUCUGGGGACCAGACAGCAAAAGCUGGGAGAGCUCUGUUAACUGCUGAAUGCUCUAAGGCUUUACACUCUCUGAAGAUCUGGCUCACUGAUUUCCUAAGAGGAAAGAUUAGGAAAUGAACCAUAAGUGGGAGAUACGGCUCCUGCUAUGUACUAGCCUUAUUUAUAUUUUAGAAAGACUUGAUUAUUUUUCUCCAGUUCUAAUAUAAAUGGUCAUUGGAAAUUGAAUGCUUUGCUCCCUACUUAUAAUGGAUAACUAUAAAAAUGCUCCACAACUUUUAUUACAUGCAAUAAAAAAUCUGGGAGUCAGUUUUAGGCAUGUCUUCCAAAAAUACCCUGACCAAAUUGCACAUUUUUUCUCAUGAUCCAUGUCUAGUCCUAUUCCAUGCUACGGUCCCAUUCACCUUCCUCAUCUCGCACAGAAUUUGUACCUCUUCAGUUUCCCUAGACAAACUGUUCAUUAAAUCUUCUUAAGAGGAAAUGCUGAAUUUGCAGCACACAGUAAUUCCUGUUUAAUCUUUCUCGUGGGCCUCCCUUUGAAGACAGGAUAGUAUCCUCUCUUCACUGUUCUCUCAGAGUACCACUUUCUGUCCAUCACUAUCCUCAGUGUUUGCCUCCAAUCCAUAUCACUCACUGCUGGUUUUGGAGAUCCCACCUCCUUCUGACCCCAUGAUGCAGAAACAGAUCCCAUCUCUCCAUUCCCCCUUCCAUGCACCUACAUCAGCUGUGCAACCACUCACCUAAUUUUGCCCUAAGUUAAAUUUCAUAUCACAACUGGGUAUCCCACAGAAAAUCAAGUCUUAAAUUGCACUAUGAUUACUCUUUUUCUUCCUUAAAAUAAUGUUUCCAUUGAGAUUCAUUAUAUGUCAGUAUAAUUUGCUGUAGGAUUGAGAUGUGGGAUAAAGUUUUUGUUUAAAGAAUAUAUGAAACACAUAUUCGGUAAGCAGGGUUUAUUUGUUGAUUUUCAGAUACAGAACCGUGUUUGUUUGCUUAUUGUCAGUACAAAAGACAAAACUUACCCUUUCAUAAAAGGAAGUCGGAUAAUUUAUCUGGCACAAUGAGGAAAUGCAAACAGAACUUAAGAUUCAGAAAACUGAGUAUAGUUUCAGUACAGAUGAUUCAUUAUGAUCUGCUAAAUAUAAAAAAAAAAAAAACCUU